rnacentral:sRNA from 1 species
AAGCAAUCAAAGUACAAUUAC